ACUUUUUUUGUCUCCUUUCCUCUCUCUCUGCGCAGUCUUUGUCUCGGGAGCUAAGGGGAGUAGAGAGGGUUUGAUGGCGGUGGGUAACGGAGUAGAGGGAGGAGGCUGGGUGGAGCGACGGCCGGGAGGGGAGCGGAGGAGGGUGGAGCGCCGAGGCCUCCGACGGCCUAGGUGGCGUAGGGGGUACGCAGGUAGGGAGAGCGCAGGGUAGAGAGUGAGAAGUGCGUCGAGGAGCGACGCGGUGGACGUCGCCGACUAAAUCCGCUGCAGGCGGCUUAGGGUACUGGCACUUCGUGUCGGGCUCCAGGGGACCGUGGCGCCUCGAAAGGGUAGGCCGAUCUAAGCCGCGAGCGUCGGUGGUCUCGGGUGGGCGCUGGGAGGGGGUACCGAUCCCAAAGUCCGCAGCCGAGGCCGCGCCACCGGUACAGCAGGAGGAGAACAGGCCGCUCACGUAGGGGAGGGAACGAAGCAGGAGAGAGAGAGACAGAGGGUGAAAGACACUAGAUACCAGAAGAGAAGAGGACAUCUGCACGUCCCUCCUUAGCGAUCACCUGUCGGAACGACGACGAGCCCUGUUUCGUCGGCACCUAGAAGGAGGAGCAGGACGAUACCGAAGUCGCUUUAUCCUUCAGGUUACUGCUGUCAAAUUUCGUGUACCCCUCGUUGCUCCCAUGGUGGGUCGACAUGCCGCCGGACUAUCCCUCCACUAAUUAUCGAGUUAAAUGUCGACUAAAAGGAAGAGUCAUGUACGAUCAGCUUCAUUAAUUAAUCAACUAUAAACGUGUAUGUCCUAAACUCUUGAAAUACAGUAAAGGAUACAUAUGGGUGGUCAUGAGAUCAAUUGAAGGACAAUAUAAAAUAUAUAGAAGGCUCAAAGUCGUAAUUAUAUUCGAUACUACUACUCUGUAAUGUAUUACAAGGUAUUACACUACAAAUCGUGUAGUCGAAGGGUUGAAAGAACUUUAUUACACAUUGCGACACCUAUUGAAAAUGAACCAAAUAAACCAUCAGUCUGAUGUUAGGAUGACUGCUACGCGUUCAAUACGAUUACCGUUACUCAUGAACUAUAUAUGUCAAAGUACAAAUGUAGUCUGACUAACUACUCCAAAGUUAUAUUUAGGAUGUUAGUAAUAAUACCCUCGUUAUAAGAUUUGUAAACAAAGAUUGUUGUACAUAUAGCAAGGAGACGCCAAAGUAAUAAACCUAAAGUCUCGUCGGUGAAUGACUUUCGUAUUAUUCCAUUAAUUCGAUGAAAGGUCUUAUAUGCCCUAACAUAUUUAGGACUGAUUGCCACACACCAAGACUUCGUCAGGAAUUAAAACAAGAUUUAAACCGCAAAAGGGCGGGAAAAGUACAAGACUUUGUUAUUUUCUACACACGUGUUACGAAAAACUUAACGCAAUCGACAUACAGAAAACGUUUAACAAGUGUGAGGUUAAUUUCUUAACAACACUAAUAAGGACCAGUGACGUAUAUAUGGAACGACACACUUUUCAGACAUCGAAGUUUUUUUUACAUUCGUACAGAGAGGUAACAAAGCAUUGCUAAAGUAUAAAUCCAGAAAGACCGACAGAUAUAUAUGACGUAUCCGUCACUAAAACAGGCCUGAUUAAAUAAAAAUGGGUUUGUGCUUAAUGGUACAAUUGGUCGUACUACACAACUUAUUGAAUUAAUCCGGGAAAUGGUGUUAACCACACAUUGAUUAUAAAUUUAAUACAAAUGUUCGUGUUUGACUUUCAGAUAAACAUGAGACUAUAUAACAUGAGUACGAACCUGGUCCUAGAGUGUUCCUCCACCCUCUUCCCUGCGGUUGUUAACCACGUCUAAGUCUUCUAUAUACCUACUAAUAUACCCACACACCGUUCAUAUUACGUUACUACUACUACGAUGCCAAGUACUACUACUACUACUACUACUACUACCUACGGAAAUCAAAACCAAUUCAACAUCCCUUCCCGACAACAAGGACAACCUACUACAAGGAGCCAAUUCAAAAUCAAUUCAACAUCCCUAUAGUUGUUUUAUAAAUCUAAUACCUAGUGUAACCCUACUACAAGGAGCACAUUAUAGGUGAUAACAUUUGGUUGUAAAAUUAGGUUAUAUACUAAAGGAGAGAACCCAUAUAAGAGAAUGAAAAAAACGAGUGACACACCUCGUAUACGUUA
rnacentral:rRNA from 1 species